rnacentral:rRNA from 2 species
AAAUCGUACCCCAAACCGACACAGGUGGUCAGGUAGAGAAUACCAAGGCGCUUGAGAGAACUCGGGUGAAGGAACUAGGCAAAAUGGUGCCGUAACUUCGGGAGAAGGCACGCUGACAUGUAGGUGAAGCCCCUGCGGGUGGAGCUGAAGUCAGUCGAAGAUACCAGCUGGCUGCAACUGUUUAUUAAAAACACAGCACUGUGCAAACACGAAAGUGGACGUAUACGGUGUGACGCCUGCCCGGUGCCGGAAGGUUAAUUGAUGGGGUUAUCGCAAGAGAAGCUCCUGAUCGAAGCCCCGGUAAACGGCGGCCGUAACUAUAACGGUCCUAAGGUAGCGAAAUUCCUUGUCGGGUAAGUUCCGACCUGCACGAAUGGCGUAAUGAUGGCCAGGCUGUCUCCACCCGAGACUCAGUGAAAUUGAACUCGCUGUGAAGAUGCAGUGUACCCGCGGCAAGACGGAAAGACCCCGUGAACCUUUACUACAGCUUGACACUGAACAUUGAGCCUUGAUGUGUAGGAUAGGUGGGAGGCUUUGAAGCGUGGACGCCAGUCUGCGUGGAGCCGACCUUGAAAUACCACCCUUUAAUGUUUGAUGUUCUAACCUGGCGCCGUGAUCCGGCGUGGGGACAGUGUCUGGUGGGUAGUUUGACUGGGGCGGUCUCCUCCCAAAGUGUAACGGAGGAGCACGAAGGUCAGCUAAUCCUGGUCGGACAUCAGGAGGUUAGUGCAAUGGCAUAAGCUGGCUUGACUGCGAGAGUGACGGCUCGAGCAGGUGCGAAAGCAGGUCAUAGUGAUCCGGUGGUUCUGUAUGGAAGGGCCAUCGCUCAACGGAUAAAAGGUACUCCGGGGAUAACAGGCUGAUACCGCCCAAGAGUUCAUAUCGACGGCGGUGUUUGGCACCUCGAUGUCGGCUCAUCACAUCCUGGGGCUGAAGUAGGUCCCAAGGGUAUGGCUGUUCGCCAUUUAAAGUGGUACGCGAGCUGGGUUUAGAACGUCGUGAGACAGUUCGGUCCCUAUCUGCCGUGGGCGCUGGAGAAUUGAGGGGGGCUGCUCCCAGUACGAGAGGACCGGAGUGGACGCAUCACUGGUGUUCGGGUUGUCAUGCCAAUGGCACUGCCCGGUAGCUAAAUGCGGAAGAGAUAAGUGCUGAAAGCAUCUAAGCACGAAACUUGCCCCGAGAUGAGUUCUCCCUGAGACUGUAAGUCUCCUGAAGGAACGUUGAAGACGACGACGUUGAUAGGCCGGGUGUGUAAGCGCAGCGAUGCGUUGAGCUAACCGGUACUAAUGAACCGUGAGGCUUAACCUUACAACGCCAAAGAAGU